AGUCGUAACAAGGUUUCCGUAGGUGAACCUGCGGAAGGAUCAUUACCGAGUGCGGGCCCUCUGGGUCCAACCUCCCAUCCGUGUCUAUCUGUACCCUGUUGCUUCGGCGUGGCCACGGCCCGCCGGAGACUAACAUUUGAACGCUGUCUGAAGUUUGCAGUCUGAGUUUUUAGUUAAACAAUCGUUAAAACUUUCAACAACGGAUCUCUUGGUUCCGGCAUCGAUGAAGAACGCAGCGAAAUGCGAUAAUUAAUGUGAAUUGCAGAAUUCAGUGAAUCAUCGAGUCUUUGAACGCACAUUGCGCCCCCUGGUAUUCCGGGGGGCAUGCCUGUCCGAGCGUCAUUGCUGCCCUCAAGCACGGCUUGUGUGUUGGGCUUCCGUCCCUGGCAACGGGGACGGGCCCAAAAGGCAGUGGCGGCACCAUGUCUGGUCCUCGAGCGUAUGGGGCUUUGUCACCCGCUCCCGUAGGUCCAGCUGGCAGCUAGCCUCGCAACCAAUCUUUUUAACCAGGUUGACCUCGGAUCAGGUAGGGAUACCCGCUGAACUUAAGCAUAUCAAUAA
rnacentral:misc_RNA from 1 species